rnacentral:rRNA from 1 species
GCGCACCAGUCGAGAAACUUCGCAAUGCGCGAAAGCGCGACGAGGGGAUUCCAAGUGCAUGCACUAAGUGUAUGCUUUUCGUGAGUUUAAAACGCUCACGGAAUAAGGGCUGGGUAAGACUGGUGCCAGCCGCCGCGGUAAUACCAGCGGCCCUAGUGGUGAUCGUUAUUAUUGGGCCUAAAGCGUCCGUAGCCGGUCCGGUAAAUCUCUGGGUAAAUCGUUGGGCUUAACUCAGCGAAUUCUGGGGAGACUGCUGGACUUGGGACCGGGAGAGGUCGGAGGUACUCCAGGGGUAGGGGUGAAAUCCUGUAAUCCUUGGGGGACCACCGGUGGCGAAGGCGUCCGACCAGAACGGGUCCGACGGUAAGGGACGAAGCCCUGGGGCGCGAACCGGAUUAGAUACCCCCGUAGU